UACGGGGGGGGCAAGCGUUGUUCGGAAUUACUGGGCGUAAAGGGCUCGUAGGCGGCCAACUAAGUCAUACGUGAAAUCCCUCGGCUUAACCGGGGAACUGCGUCUGAUACUGGAUGGCUAGAGAUUGGGAGGGGGAUGCGGAAUUCCAGGUGUAGCGGUGAAAUGCGUAGAUAUCUGGAGGAACACCGGUGGCGAAGGCGGCAUCCUGGACCAACACUGACGCUGAGGAGCGAAAGCCAGGGGAGCAAACGGG
rnacentral:rRNA from 1 species